UUUUUAUUUUUUAUUUUUUUCUUUUUACAGUUGCACCUGUGGCAAACGGAAGUUCCCGGACUAGGGGUCGAAUCAGAGCUGUAGCUGCCGGCCUAUACCACAGCCUCGGCAACGCUGGAUCCAAGCUACAUCUGCUACCUGCACCUUAGCUUGAGGCAACACUGGAACCUUAACCCGCUGAAUGAGGCCAGGGAUCAAAUCUGCAUCCUCACUGAUACUUUGUUGUGUUCUUAAACCAUUAAGCCACAAUGGGAAGUCCAAAGCAGCUUUUUAAAUUAUGCUAUGCAAGGGAUAGGAGGGGCCCUGGGCCCAAAGGCACCAUCCACAAUCAAGACAUAGUGGUUAAGAACAUGGGCUCUUAGCCGACCUGCCCGGUUCAAAGCGCUGUUCCGCUUUUACUUCAGUGGCUGACUGUGGAUGGGUUACUGAACCUCUCCCAACUUCAGCAUUCUGAUCCGUCAGAAUGAGGGGAUGAUAUUAAUAGGAUCUCUUAGGUUUGUUUUGAAAUCGAAAGAGUUCAUGCGUGUAAAGCAUUUAGUACAAUAUCCAGCAUAUAAGCAAUAAUUCAAAUGACUACUGCUGAUGGUAAAUAGUCUUCUUUCCUAUAACUCAUCUUCGCUUGCUCUACCCCUUUAUAUUUCCUUCAAAUUAAUGUCCAGUCUCCCUUCUUAUAUUCCUGCUAAACUACUUGAAUACAUGGCCUAUACUGGCUGAUUCCUUUCUCAGUGAACAGCAUUCUGGUUUCUGCCCAAACACUUCAUUCACUGAUGGCUUCCACCUUGCCAGAUCCAGUGGUCACUCUUUGGUCCUUAUCUUACCAACCCACUGUCUACAUUUCAUAGUUGACUGUUUUUUUUUUUUUUGAAACUCUCUGAAUACCCUUGUUUUCCAUGACCACGUGAUCAAUUUUUGUCUGGUGUUUUCCUUUUGUCUCGCUGUCUAUCCCAUUUUACUUCCCAUUUUCUCUGCUCACCCCUUACAUGUUGCUAAUUCACAGACUUCCAUCCUUGAGCUACUGCCCUCUCUCUUUUACAUGCUCUUCAUAGGAUUUCAACUGUUGUUUGCACUAAUAGGGCUUUUAAAUACUUGUCCUCAGGUGCCAGACCAUACAUGGUUACAAGUCCCACAGUCACCGAAAGCUCAGCAUCUCCAAAACAAACUCAUGGUAUCACCCCAGCAUUCCCCGCAGCUCAGUGCUCCACCUGUAUUCUAGAUCUCAGUUAACGGCCCCACUAUCCAGCCAACCACCCAAACCAGGAAUCUGGAAGUAAUAAAUCCAUCCCUCAUCUUCUUCUUCAUUAUUGACAUCGUCUUUAAUACAUGUCGUCUAUCACCGUAUUUUCUUUUCCAUCUUUACUACCACCACGCCAGUCCAAGUCCUAAUUAUUUCUUGCCUUGGUUGGAACAACGGUUUUUCAAUGGUUCUCCCACCUCUCAUUUGUCCCCUUCAAGCUCUCAGUCAUAGAGCUAGCAGAGGGGACAAUCUAAAAUGGAAAUUCAAUGACACUGCUACCUAUAUAAACCCACCUACCUCAUAAACUGCCCAUCGCCUACAGGGUAACAUCCUGGACCUUGACCUAGCAGCACAGUUCUCCAUAACAUUAUCUCUAUGUUUCUGUCCAGUUUAAUGGCUACCCACCAUGCUAACCAUGAUUAUAUGCAUAGAUAUUAUAUACAUAUAAAACAUUAUGAUACACUGAUGCAAUAUCAUUAUUCUGGUUUACAGAUUAAGUGGAUGGUAUUGGAAGCAACUUGCUCAUAGUCAUCAAAUCAGUAAACUUGAUAACUGAAUCCAAAUAUAAUCAUAUUCCCCAAGGAAUCUUCUUGAGGUCAAGGUCCACAUCAUUCCCUUUUUGGAACCACCAGCAUCUAGUAUAUGCAAUGGUAUGCACAAUGACUCUAAGGUAUUAAUCUGAAUUGACUGCUAAAAAGGAGAGAGAAAUUAUAACAUGGAAAUUAGAAAAAAAAAUCUUCCUGCCAUUGACUGAAGAAGGAAUAGAAUUUCUAGAGUUACCUCACAGGUACUAGAAAGUAAGGAACAUUAUGACUAAGUCUGUAAAAAGGAUAUUUCUUCAUAUAUAUUUAAAUUUGAAUAUUUUUCCAAAUAUAAUUAAAAACCCCAUGCUAUCUUUUUAUUUUCAAUUGCAUUUUAUUCAUAGGUCAUAUUUACUUUUAGAGGAGCCAAAGUAAGGUAAAUGUAAAUAUUUGCACCAACAAGUUCUCUGCUGGAGUACAGUGUGUAUGGAAUACGUGUGUGCAUAUAUAGAGAGAUAAACAUACACAUAACAGAAAACGCGCAAACCAGUUUUGGGUUUAUAAAUAGAUGAUUUCAAUAACAUUUAGGAAGCUCACUAUUUAGACAAGCUGAUAACAAAGGAUCAAAAGGAUUAUUACCUAAAAACUCUGAGACCUGUCAAAGAAUUUUUUAAAUUAUGAAAAAAUGCAGUUGUCUAUUUGCAAUUAAAAAUUAAAACUGGCACCACUUCUUCCCAGGCAAUUAUCAAAAGACUGAUGGCUACCUUCCUUGUUUACAGUGCUUCCUGUAUCAAGACUUCAUGCCGUUUUGAAAUAUUCCUUUCUUAUGUUUCAUUUCUCUUAGGCCAUAAUAAACCCAAUACUAAUAUCUUCACACUGUCAACAUUUCUAAUUGUAAUGUGACCCUCAAAUACUAUAGCAUUGUUUAAACUUCUGAAAACAGAUUGAUUUGAAGGGUACAUGGAGUAAUUAAUAUUCCUAGAUUAGCAGGGUAUAAAGCAGUAAAAUUUGUAUAAGGCCUCUCUAUAUUUAAGGAAUGCAAGAACAAAAAUAAAAUGCAAACAUCGAUUUCUAUUGACAGAGACUUAAUUCCAAACAGAAUAUAAUGUUGUAAAUAAUAAAGUCACACAUCAGCUCCAUUUCAGUCCUCGCACUGGGAACGGCCAAGAGAGUAAAAUUCCAUCUUCCACCAGGAAACCAGUAGUGUAUUUUGGAGAUGUGGGGUAUCAGUAAGUGAAUAAGUCCGUAUGCAUGAGGCAUCGUCUAUGUGGCAAACACUGCUCUGGGUACUGGUGAUACAGCAGAGAACAAGACAGAGAGAGUACCUGCCUUUAAGAAACUGGGUAGAGAUGGUAAACAGAUUUAUCCUCCAAAGAGAGGAGUGACAUGUCCUGUUUAACUCUCUAGAAAGACCCCUUUGGCUACUCUGUGACCCAUGGACCUCACCAGGAUGGAAGAGUUAAUGCGUACAUUAGGAGGUGGCCCUAAUGCAGCUGAGGAAGGGAAAUGAUGAAAGGAUCGGAGCACUUACUCCACACACUCCUUCCCCUUAUGAUGGUGUCCUAGACUCUGAACCACCGUAUCCUCCACCAUGGGACAGGGGUGGGGGAGUUAGGGAGGCUGGAUCACAGACACUAUUGCACCCACUUCACAGGUAAGAUUUGGAGACCGGAGAGGGAGAAGUAACUUAUUCCAAGUUGUGAAGCAAAUCAGUGGGAAAGGUGGAAGCAAAGCAAAGAUUCCUGCUUCUAGCCCCAGACCUUUCUUCCCUAAAUGAAUCAUCAGUAUCUUCAGCCUCAGUUCACUCUGCAAUCCUUUAUGGAAGGCUUCCAAGGAAAGUUAUUUACUUACUCAUUAAGCAGGCAUUUAUGGAGAGUUUACUAAACACAGAGCACCUGACUAGGUGCUCGGGAUUCAGGGAUAACAGGAGAUUUUGUGUAUGAGAAGUCCACCGUCUUGUGGGAAAGACAGACCAAGAAGCUCACAAGGACUACACAGCAGGGAAAGCACCAUGAUAAUGGUGGUCCCACAUGCCCAGGAGACGCAGAUUAUUCUGGCAGCGGGCAGAUGUGCCCAAGAAGAAUCAAUCCUUCAAUUGUGUUUUGAAGAAACAGCAGGGGUGGGAUAGCCAGUGGACAAGGAGUGGGAAAAAUCCAAAACAGCCUGAGAAAGCACGGCGUGCAGCAGGACACACAGGACGGAGCUUUUCAGUGUUGCUGGAGUUCAGGAAGUGUAUCAGAAAUGGGACAAGAAAGAUGGAUAGAGGCCAUGUCAUGAAGGGUCUUGUGAGCUGUUCCAAAGAAUCGGGGCUUAAAUGACACUGCUGCUCCACUUUUCCAACUCUUAGCUAUCCUCAGUGCACUUAGAUGCCAUUCAUGACACCAUUCCAAAGAAGCUGUUUCAGCAAAGGCCAUCAGUGACCUCCUUCAUGACCAGCCUAUGAAAUCUUAACAUACCUUUCCUAGUUCUUGCCGCAGCCCUGAAAACUGCUGCUCACCGUCCCCCUCCUGUCUACAUCUUCCUUGGCUUUUAACUAGUCACUUGUCAAAACUCAGCUCAUGUUUCACUUCCUCUUUGAAGCCUGUGCUGGCUUUUCUGCCUCUGUCUCCACUUCCUCCUCUUUCAUGGUCACCUCUAUAACAGCCUCGUUUCACUCUCGUUUACAAGCUUGUAUGCAUCACAGGCUGGAGUCCUUUCCCUUCUUGAGAGUGGCUCCUUUGCCUUAUUAAUUUGGGAACUAGCAGAAUGUAGACACUCAAAUGUUUACAGACCAAUCGAUGAAUGAAUGGAUAAGUAGAUGGUGAUGGGUCAUGGAAAGAUUAUAGGUAGGAGAAUGGUAUAAGACUUGCAGUUUAGGAAAAGCACUAUGGUGUCAGAGCAGAAAGCUGGAAGACUGAGAACAGAAGCCGGAUGAUUAAGCAGGAAAACAUUAAAAAUAAUCCAACGGAGAUAUAUGAAGAAAUAGGCAGAGUAGCAGUAGCAAAGGAGAGGAGGGGAUGGAUUUGAAAAAUAUUUAGAGAAUAAACACACAGAAUUCAAUGAUCAUUUGGAUGGCCAAUGGGAGCAAGCCUGAGAAAAAUAAAGGCAUCAAGGAUGACUUCCAUGUUCCUAGCUUUGGUGACUGGAUCACUGGAUUACCUCUUCUAGUUUAAAAUGUCUACACUUUCUGAUCCACUGCAUUAGGCCAGGCAAAGACACUUUGGACAAGGUGACGAGUUACAAGUAUCUGCUGCACUAUGUCCUUUAAUGUUUCUCAGAAACACAUUUGCUGCAUCAAUCCACAUUUAUAUAUGGAGCCCAUCAUGUUUUUCUCCACUGGCACCAUUAUACUUCUAAACUUUUCCCAAAAAAAGAGGAGGGUCUUAAAAAUGGACAAAACAACAUUCAAAAAACUAUGUUACCUCAUAUUUGAAUAGCUCCUCUAUUAAACUAAAAAAACAGCUGAAAACAGGAAACCACAAAACAUGGCUGGUCUGGUGGCUCCUAAAAAAUAGUAAAGGAACAGAUGUUCCUAACCUCCACUAAGUUAUAAGGAUUGGAAGAAAGUAUUUGCAGCAGGUCAUCUCUUGUUUUGGCCAGCCAUCUCCUCAGAUGGCUGGGAUAUAUAUACACUUGAAACUAUGUUUUAUACCAUUAAGAUACCAUAAUAAUAAUGGGAUUUUUGCAUUUUAAUAGAAAUUUUUCUUUACCUGAAACAUAAUUUUAAACAUACUUUUCUUGCUUCUUGGCAAUGAAAACACGGGUCGACCAAGUAAAUCCAUCCCUGAAAUAUCUCAUUAAUCACAGUGCACUUGUUCUUGGCAAGAACCUUAAUGUGCUACAAAAACUGUUAUUAAAGUAAGAUUUGGGGAUUCCCAGGCUGGCAAGAAAUUAGUUAGACUGCUUUAGAAAUUGUUUUCCCAUUAUUUCCUUUAUUAUUAAUGGUCUUGUUAGACAUAUAGCUCAAAGUAACUUUCCCUUAUGAAUUUACAAUGUAAAGACCAGCUGUUCUAAAGCUUAUUUAAAAUCAUAAGAAGCAACUGCCAAAGAUGGCCUGUCCCCCAGAGUCAGGUGUAGUUGUGCAGAAUCCUCUCCCAAAGACAGUACUGUCCAUUCCCUUUGUGCUACUG
rnacentral:lncRNA from 1 species